rnacentral:lncRNA from 1 species
AACAAACAAGAUAAUCUAAAUGACAGCACUACAUCAACCGCGAACCCCCUGCAGAAUGAAUUCUACAAGAUGAAGUUUUACCUGUUGAAUCAUCAGGCGAAACCUCUCUUAUCCAAUCUCCCUCGCCCUUAACAUAGACGCUUUUGGCUUUAUUUAUCUAUUUUUUUUUCAAUCGUUUAGUGCACAGUGUUGCAUGAGUAUGACACGAUCAUUUGUCCAGUGGACAACAAGUGUUUUGACAAACAUCACAUGGCGGCCCCCAGCUCUGCAACUUGUAAAGAAGACCCUCACCUUCUCUUCACUCCAUUCUUCAUCCUUGCCGCCUACAAUAAAACCCCAAUACGAGUAGCAAGCACAAUUGCAGUCAGCAUCAAAGCGAUAAAAUAUUCAGAAUACUAGAAUAUACUCUUUUUUUUUUUGGGGAAAACAAAUUAUGAUGCAACUCAUCGAUAAAGAAUAUAUCCAUUCUUCCAAAAGAUAAUACGGGAAGUACAACAAGCCAAAAAGAACCAGAUGUAAAAGAAAGGGUGAACGACCAAAAUGGUCACUGAACUAUUAAGUAUUAAGUAUGGUAUGAUCAAACUUUUUUCGUGGCCACAACAAUCACUAAACAAGCAAAGAGGGCCACCAAAGUCAUUUUAUCAAAUUCUAUCAAUAAAAUAAUUGGUAAAUCAUUGAAAUUCAAUUACCUUUUCCACAAAAUGACUUUUGACAAUCAGUUGUUUUACUGGUAAAAUUUUGCAAAAUAACCUCUCUGGCCCCUUUUUACCAGUUUAGUGACCUUUGUGGUCACAAAAAUAAUUUUUUUGGUAAUUGACCCAUGUCAUACUUAACAGUUUAGUGAUCUUAUUGGCCAUUUACUCUAAAAGAAAACAUAGUUUGGCUCACCGGACGGUGACAAACGGUUUUGCUAAGGGCUAGUCAUCAUAAACUACCGAUGAUACUACAGUAAUUUCAACAUCUACAGCACAAAUUCCACUCCUUUGUCAAUCAGUCACUCUAACCGGAGCAUGGAACGUAUUUUAAUUUGUAAGCUAUCUACAGCUGUUGUGUUUAAAAAAUAAAGAAAAAGAGUCAGUGUAAUGCGGUAUCAGUUGCUGCGCUUAAUUAGUAGUAAAUAGUAAUUGGUUUCUCUGAAUAAGAUAAUCUACAAGAGUAAACCUAUUAACGGACUAGGUUCGGAUCAGAAUUAAAUAUCCUAGACCCAUACCCAUUUAUUCAUACUUGUUUAGAAUUCGACUUGUACACUCAACGACUCUUACACUUGAUCUUCCGGAUCCGGAUUCGAUCGGAUUCGAAUACGAGCCGAGUAUAAUCAUAUCCAAAAAUUAUAUAUUGAUAAGUAUAUAUAUUUUAUAAUUAUUAAUAUGUAUAUAUAAAAUAUAAUAUAUAUAUUUAGUAACUAUUAAUUCAUUUAAAUGAGUUCUGAUAGGAUGCUAGUCAAAAUUUAAUAUUUCGUUUUUGACACACUUAAAUAGGUUUGGAUUCGUUGAAGUUCCCCGGUGGGCGGUGCAAGUUUUUACCCUUCAUAAAGCAAGGCCCUUUUCUGUCUUUUUGGAGUUUCGGUCAUCUUCAUGGCUUGAUGACUUCAACAGUUGCAUGUUUUUGGACUUUCAUAAACGCGGCCUCAACUCUUCUUCCUUCUUAGUCCCUCCUCAUUUGCUCCCAAACAAACAAACAAAAAUACUGUACUUAGAAAACAAAUGAGCACUACUAGCAGGAAUUGGAAGCUUCUUACCUUUAUCUUAUUCAUGUUUAUCCGCACGCAUGCGGACCUCCCGGGGAGCUGGGAACUCCUCGUCCCGGACGCCGGGAUAGCCUCAAUGCACACUGCCGUC